UACGAAGGGGGGCUAGCGUUGUUCGGAAUUACUGGGCGUAAAGCGUGCGCAGGCGGCUGCUCAAGUCAGGGGUGAAAGCCCGGAGCUCAACUCCGGAAUUGCCAUUGAAACUGUUUGGCUCGAGUACGAGAGAGGUGAGUGGAAUUCCCAGUGUAGAGGUGAAAUUCGUAGAUAUUGGGAAGAACACCGGUGGCGAAGGCGGCUCACUGGCUCGUAACUGACGCUCAUGCACGACAGCGUGGGGAUCAAACAGG
rnacentral:rRNA from 1 species